CACAACGGACGCGGCGGUAGAAGGCCCCUCUGGUGGUCAGGAAGAGUAACGGCCUAGGUCCGCGACUUGUGAACAGGCUGCUAGGUCGGGUAGGAGCGCGUGGACCUCCAACACAACUGGAGGAUGUCCGAGGUGGGGUCCCCCAUAUGGCGUGCUCUACUAAGACCGAGACAGGCCAAAGGCCGGGAGGAGCUCAGCCCGAGCCCCAAGCUUUCGACAAACUCAGAAAAGGAUCUGGGGUGGACGCUCAGUCCUGGAGUCAGGGAGCGUCCAUACUGGCGCACCAUAGGUUGGACUUUGCUGGUAUCCGAGGAGAAGGGUUGCUAGGAGACCACGCUAAUGAAGGAGUCACCCACUACCAAGAUGGCAAGCUAUACGGCUUCACGCCAGAAACCAAGGCCUUGCUAAGCAACCAUUUUAGAAUCUGGCAAAAUUCAGUUUCCGGGCCGAAACCAGACCAACUCGAUACACGCAGAGAGAAGCAAAGGGAGAAUACCAACUAGGACCCCAGGAAAAGGGUUACCUGCCCCUAACCAAGAUGGCCGCCCAGGAAACUCGGGGCACGUGGGACAUGGCGGCGCUUCCGGUCCCAGUGCCCUCAGUGAAGAUGGCGGCUGUGGAGAAGCGGCGGCCGGCGGUAACACCGGCGGCCAGUUUCACGGACAACGGCCGGCCGUCGGUGUCCCGGGCGCAAGCGGCCGCCGAGAAUGAGGAGGACUUCCUGCGGCAGGUCGGCGUGACCGAGAUGCUGCGCGCGGCCCUGCUAAAGGUUCUGGAGGCGCGGCCCGAGGAGCCCAUCGCCUUUCUGGCGCACUACUUCGAGAACAUGGGCCUGCGCUCUCCGGCAAGCGGCGGCGCCGGAGAACCCCCGGGACAGCUCUUGCUGCAGCAGCAGCGCCUGGGUCGCGCGCUGUGGCACCUUCGCCUGGCUCACCAUUCACAGAGGUGCGGGCGGGGCGGCGGCCAGACUACAGUUCCCGGCAUAUUGCGGGGCGCGGGGCACUCUGGGAGUUGUAGUUCGCGGCCUCCUGGCCGGAGCCGGUGGGCUGGUAUUGCGCUAUAUUUCCGGGCGCGGAGCUUGCUGGGAGUUGUAGUCCUCGCCUCCUGGGCGGGGUGGAGCUGCUACUUCGCCCUCAGUGCCGGCUGCGGGCUGGUGCACGUUUCUGCUGCAGCUGGGGGCUUUCUAGGUCGGAGGGUACCGUAUCCCUUAAGCCAGAAACGAAUAACUGGACCUGGAGAUUGACUAAAGCCGAGCGUGGCCCGCGGGAGGAAAGCCUGGAGUGGGGCGAGCCGGGGCUACUGGUCUGUGUCCCGGAUGGGACGGUUCUGAACUCCCAAGGUGGCCGAGUUCCUAGGUGAGGGUUGCAGCAGACUGGGAAGCUGUCUAACACGCAGCAUCAGCCCUGGGCGACUGUCUGGGGCUGGUGGGCGGUGUUUGGGGGGACCCAGAAGCAGAGGCUGAGGCGGGCAUUGCGUGAUGGCUUAGGAGUGGUGUGCCAGCACGCAGUGCGCCUCAGUCCGUCCCCACGGUGACUCCGGCGCCCCUCAGGGCAGCCCUGCCCGAGCCGGAGAAGCUGGGAGUCUGAGCGCAGCUGGACGGGGUGGGGGCUGGGAGGAGGAGCAGGUGGGCAGGAGGCGGAGUGAUGGGAGUGGAGGGGAGUAGGACUGGCUCCUUGGCACGAGGAGCCCACAGCGGGAAGGUGGACUGGAUUGCCUGAGACAGGGCUGGGAUGGGGCCGUUGUAGACUGGGGGAUUUGAGAAGGCCUCAGGAGAGAAGAGCAGAGCCCGCAGAAAGGGUGGGUGGGAAGGCAAAGCCAGAGAUGAAGAGCCAGGAGAAGUGGCCUCAAGGCGGAAAUUGAUCAGUGGCAGGGCUCCGUAUGUGGUGGCUCAGGUCAAGCACAGCUGUCACAGACGAAGAUGUUUAUGUUCGUCUCGUAGGGCUGGUGGGCAUGUUGGCCCACAUCUGUAAUCUCAUCAGCUCUGGAGGCUGAGGCAGGAGAGUCAUAGGUUCAAAGCCAGCCUGAGCAAGUCAAUGAGGCUCCAAACAAUUUAGCAAGUCCCAGACUCAAAAUUUUAAAAAGGGCUGGGGAUGUGGCUCACGGUUAUGUGACCCUCAGUUCAAUCCCUGGUACAAAAAAAUAACCUAGGGCUGCUGUUAAAAAUUACCAUAGAUUUAGUAACUUAAAACAGAAAUUAAUUUUCUCAAUUGUUGAGGUGGCCCGAAGUCUGAAACCACGGUGUCAUCAGGCCCAUGUUCUCUCCAGAGGGUCUAGAGGAGGUCUUUCCUGCCUCUUCCAGCUUGGUGGUUGCUCUAGUCUGUAGUGCACCUUGGUGGUGACUAAUAACUCCAUCCCUCUGUCCUCCCCCUUGGCCUUCCGUCUGCUUUGUAAAUACACUAGGUGUUGGAUUACAGCCAAUCCUUCUCCAGCAUGACCUCAUCUUAGGAAUUACACCUGCAAAGGACCUGUUCUCAACUAAGGCCCCUACCUGAGGUUCUGGAUGAUAUGACAUCCCUGGUCCCCCAGAAUGGAAGUGUCACAGCUGUUGGCUGGAGUUCAAUCAGAGUGGCAGAGGCACAGGAAGCAGACAGUGGGUGCUUGUGGCAGAUAUGAAGGCCCUGGAGUCACCUGGCUUCCCAGGGACCAGCCAGGAGGAAAUGAAUAAGACAGGCUCCCAGGCUCCCAUGGCGUGCGAUCGUGCUCAUGGGUCCAGGCCUGCUCCUGUCCUCCCUAAGACACCAUGGCCACUGCCUCCCUUCCUCAGACAGCAGGCAGCAGCUCUUGGCUGGUGGAAAGGAGCAGAAGCCAAGGGCCAGGUAGCUGUAUGCUGUCCCCCUGUACUGAGGCUGAGCUGAAGAUGCCAGGUCUGGGAGAAGUCACCUCAGCCCUCUCUGCUGGCCAGCAAGGCCACCUGGAGCACAAGAAUGUAGUGGUGUCUGAAGGCCACAUGGCUGGCCACCACAGGGCAGAGCCAGGAGUCGGACGGCUCAGCCGAUGGGGCCUCCUUGGCUACCUCAUUGCUGAUGAGAGGGACUCUUGCACAGUGUCCCUGAACAUGUUGUCACCAGAAAAGUACUCGUGGAGGACUGGCUAGUCUUGGCCAGGGCCCAGCCUCAGCCCACUAUGGUGGGCACCCUGGACACUGCAGGGUGCAGAGCAGAGCCCCUGGCCUCUACCCACCCAUACCACACACUCCCCCGUUGUGACCACACAUGUCUGACAUGGCUCAGGGUCUCCACUGAGAGCCACUGGUCAAAGGUGAAAAUAGUGUUGCUGCUGCUCCUCGAGACAAUGUGUUCUCUUCCCUAGCAAGUGCGGGCAAGCUUUGCAAGCUGCCCUGGCUGGCUGCCCGACCUGAACUGCAGAGCAGAGGGGAAUGGUGCCGUGCUCUGUGCACCUGUCAUCUCUGGGUGGUGCAGCAGGACACUCCUAGGGGGAGUGAGGCAGCCUGGAAGGAGGUGCCUCUCCUCCCUUUCUUGCCCCUUCCUGGGUGUCACCCUGAUUCACUGGUUGCAGUCACACCUCGGUGCCUCCUGGUCAUGGGGCUGGAGCCUUUGCUGUGGUUACUGCUGUGUGCUUCCUGGACUUGGGGCCAGGAUCCUGCUCAAACAUCACCUGAGCCACAGACGGGUGGGACUCCACACACUGGGCACGGCCCCAGGUCUGUGGCACAGUCUGCUCCAUCCUCACAAGGAUCUGAAAUGCAAGGACCAGGCUGGUACCCUCCUAGGGAGGAGGGUGAGGUCCUGACAGGCAGGGACUUGCCCAGGGCACCCUGGAAGGCAGGUGUGGCAGCCGCAGAGCACUGCAUGCCCAUAGUGCCUAGUGGUGCUCCAGGAGCCACAGGGGCCCAGCUCCUGCCCCCCAGCCACCGCCUCCAGGGAAAGGAGUCAGUGCAAGAGAGUGGGUGGGCAGGCAGAGGGCAGGAGACCUGUGCCUGAGGCCUGCAGAGGGAAACCAGCUGCAGGCUGGAUGUGGGGCCAGGAAGCCCCUUCACAUGCAGGACCAGAAACCCCACACCGGGUGGCUGCAGCUCAGCCGGAGGCUCUGGCUGCCCCGGGGAGUUUGUGCCUCCCAGCAGGGAUGGUAUAGCUCUGGGUGUUUAGCCCGGAGUGGGCUCUGAGAAGGGUGGGAUGGGGCUGGCAGUGGCCUCCCUCAGAUUGUGCCACUGCCCAGCAGGAAGAUAGGUCCUUCGGGGCUGCCCUGUUGCCACUCCCCUCACCCCGCUUGCUAAGCCCUGUCAUGAGGUCACUGUGCCGUCCCUGCGAGAAGAGCGAGGGCUGGGUGCCUCCAGGGCUGUUGAGAGGCUGUGCAGGUGCAGUCAGCAUUUGCAGCCUGCACACCACUGGCCUCCAGCGCUUCACAGUGCCAACACAGGGCCGCAGAUGGCAGCCAGCCAGGAGGUGGAGAACCCAGCCCUAGGAGGCUUGGUCUGGCCCCCACUCUGCCUUGGGGCUAUCCCUGCAAGCACUCUGCAGGGCAUGCCCAUUCCUAACCCUGACCUGGGCAGCAGCACUUGCCAAGCCCCUGCUACACUGAUGCUGGGGAGGUGGAAUGAUGUGCCCCAAGGCAUGAGGCCUGUGUCCAGCCGCUUCCUGUUGGGGGUUCUCUUCCUGCUCAGAACCACAGUGUCCCCAUACCUCUGGGACCCACAGGAUGGCCGCUGUGGGGGCUCUGCUUGUGCAGGCUCACAGGCCUCAGGCUGCUGGUGAGCAAUGGAGCACCUGGGGGGCCUGUUCCUGUGAAUAGGCACUGGCAGUCACACACGUUUGCCUGUGGGGUUGUAGGGACAAGGCCUCUGACCCACCAGAGCCUGCCCAUGAUGCCCAUGGCUUGCCUGCCAGUCAUCCAGCACAAGGCUGUGCUCUGAACACCAGGGCUUGAGCAGUGGCAGGCACCUGCCCUGGUGGGAAACAGGGGACCAAGGAGGAUCUCACAGGGUGAGUUAGGCGGCCACCCCUGGGGAGAGGGGACCUGGGAGAGGCGAGGGAUCUGGGCAGGCCAGCAUCUGCCCAGGAGGCAGUGGCCACAGCUCCCAACCUUGUCCCACCCACAGGACAGCCUUCAACAACAAUGUCAGCGUGGCCUACGAGUGCCUGAGUGCCGGCGGCCGCAGGAAGAGGCCGGGGCUGGAUGGCCGCACCUACAGUGAGCUGCUGAAGCGCAUCUGCAGGGAUGGCGAGGCCCCGGAGGAGGUGGUGGCCCCACUGCUGCGCAAGAUCCAGUGCCGCGACCAUGAGGCGGUGCCGCGGGGCGUCUUCCGUGCAGGCAUGCUUACCUGCUUUGUGCUGCUGGACUUCGUGGCCCGGGCAGGAGCCCUCUUCCGGCUUCUUGAGGCCCCAGGCCUGGCAGUGGCUGACCGCCGUGUGGGCCAGGCCGUUCUGGACACCCUUGAGGGGGCCCUGGGGGCUGGUGACCACACUGCUGGGCCUGCAUGCUACCUGGAGGCCGGCUCGCGCCUGGGACCCGACAGCCUGGCGCUGGCCCUGGACCGUGCAGCGACCGGCCGGAGGCCCAGCUCCCCCAUGUCCCGAGAGGAGUUCCUGGAGAAGGCAGCCGCCCUCUUCAUCGCCAAGGUCAAGCCAGUGGGCUGAGCCUGCUGCGUGGCUGCCCUGCUCCUGGAACAGGCGUGGGACUGGCCCAGGACAGAGCAUUCCCACCCCUGCACUAGGACAUGGCCACCAGGACACUGCACCCCCACAGCUGGGCACCCACACUCACAAGCCCUGCUCAGCUGAAAUAAAGUCUGUGGAGGCCUGUGUGCAUGCACAUGUGCGUGCGUGCGUGCGUGCGCCAAGUGGGCCCACCACCCGGCCGCCCAGCCAGCCCAUUCCUCUGGAGCCUGAGUCUCCUUCCACAGCCCUGCCCACUCCAGUGGCUCCUCUUGGGCCUCAGUUUCCCUAGCCAUCCAGCAAAGAGGGCAGCUGGCAGCGACACCGAGGGAUGGCAGUGGGAUCUCCACCCCUCCUUAUCCCUCACUGCCUGGAGGAAGGCGGCUGCGAGAGGAGACCAAGGGCCAACAGGCUGGGGCCCUCCAGAGUCACACGGUGCCACCUCCACCAGCGGUCCCCCCAGCUCCCUGUAAGCACUUCAUGACUUCAGGCAUCUGUACCCCACACACCCAGAGCCUGGCCUCCACCUCCCUCCUACCUAGGACUGACAACCCCACUCUGCCUGAGAGAGGCCUACGCAGUGGGUCUGUUGAAUCUGUCUUCUCAGACUGGCGGGUGGCCCCAGCCGCUCCCCAGUCCAAGUUAAGUGUAGGUUGGAUGGCGGGUGAGUAGUGUGUCGGGAGUGGUGGCAGCUCUGCUGCCAAGCAGAGCAGCAUCAGGGUCCUGUUCCCACUCGGGCUCUGAAGCCUAUGCUCCCAGCAAACUCCAUAGCAGGAGGCUUUGGGGCAAUCUGUGCCCCCAUGUUAGGGACGGAGCCGCCUGGGCUCAAGCACUUGCAGCCACUUGAACCCCCAGCCAAGCAGAGAGGGCAGCCAAGCAUGAGCUCUCAGAGGACUGGGACGCCCAGAGGCAAGCAUGGCUUGCCAGCCCAGGAGACUACACCGAAGCCAGCCUCCCUGCCAUCCAGCCAUCUCCAAGGCAUUGUGGUGUCCUGCAAGAGGGGCCUCUCUUGUCCUCGGGAGUGCCCCACGUGGAUAUGACUUCUAACAGCCCCAGAGUCAAGCACCUCCUCGGUGUCUGCAUAGGGACGCCCUGGGACUGCCCCAGGAUCCUGGGCAUGAGAGUGGCCCCAUGCUUCCUGUCCCACCAGCCCACCCCUCCCCUGCCACCUGGGCACCACUGGCCAAGUGGAGCAUUCCAGUGUCCCCUGGCUUCCAUGAUUGGCUUGGGGCAGGUGUGUGACACAGCAUGACACAGUCAUCUGGGAACACAGUGCUAGGGCACUGAUCUGGGAGCAGCUGGUGGGACUCUUCAGCCACUGUGUCACCAGAAGUUGCUGGGAGAGCCCAGCGGCUAUUUGCCUCAGUCCCCUCCCGCCCUCUGCCCUAGCCUGUCCCCUCCCGCCCUCUGCCCUAGCCUGUCCCCUCCCGCCCUCUGCCCUAGCCUGUCCUCUCCACCUUGCUGUGCAACACAGGACUUCAGACCCACAGGGCUCUUACCCACCCCGUGCUGGUCCACCCCAGGGUCACCUGCCAGGAGGCGCCUACCUGAGCCCCGGGCACACCUCCCGCUGCUGCCCCUGCUCUCCAGCCCUGGCUUGCUCUUCCUCCCUCGCCCGCUUCUUUCCUGCUAUUUCUUGCCUUUGCUGCCCCUGCCCUUGUGGAUGUGUGGUGUUGAACCCUGCGUCUCAGGGAAAAGUGCCUACUGUGUCACUGCCCACAGGGACAGAGCCACCUGGGCCAGGGUUUGUGACAGGUGGGUGCUCUGCCAUUGAGCCACAUCCCCAGCCUUUUUUGAGACAAGGUCUCCCUAAGUUGCCAAGUUGACCUGGAACUUGCAACCCUCCUGCCUCAGCCUCCAGGGUCAAAGGUGACAGGUGUGGCCACUGUGUCAGCUCUGCUUUUUUACACACAGGAAAUACUAUUACCCCAAGCGGUUUGUUCACGAGCUUGCUCACCCUCUGUCCAGAGCCCCCCGAGACAGGGAUCCUCAGCACCUAAGUUUUGUGCACAAGAGGAAAAGAAGGGAAGGAGGAAGGGAGUUAAAUUACCACAAAUUCACACAAGUGGUGCAGCACCUCUGACUCUGGCCCUCUUGCCUCCUCUCAUGAGGACCCUGUGGUGACCCUGGGUCCCAAUGACCAGGGUGACCCAGCUCAGGGUCCUUCGCUGAUGCCACCUCAGAGCCCCUGCUGCCCCUGCAUGGCAAAUCCAGGAACACCAAGGGGGUUCUUCGCAUCAUCUGCCCAUGGGCUCAGCUUUCCUGCGGCUCACCUUGUUCACAGGCCACAUGGUGAAGAAGCCCUCCAACUUGGCUCUCUGUUCCCAAGGCAGGUCCCCAAGCUGCAUCUCAUCAGAUGCCCAAGCCAGUCCCUGCAACUGGGAGGUGGGACACUGAUUGGACAACCUGGCCCUGCAGCCCGGGCUUGGUGUCAGUCUAAACCUCGAGUGCCCGCCCCAAGGGAAGAGUGCUGUGGCAAAAAAUGCCCCCCCUCAUCACUCCAGGAUGUUCCAGGGCCAGGAGCAGUCUUUCCAGGGGUCCCCUGCCUGCCCUGGGGCGAGGGGUGUGG
rnacentral:lncRNA from 1 species